rnacentral:tRNA from 1 species
GCGGAUGUGGUGAAAUUGGCAGACACGCUAGACUUAGGAUCUAGUGCCGAAAGGUGUGGAGGUUCGAGUCCUCUCAUCCGCACCA